UACGAAGGGGGCUAGCGUUGUUCGGAAUCACUGGGCGUAAAGCGCACGUAGGCGGACUUUUAAGUCAGGGGUGAAAUCCCAAGGCUCAACCUUGGAACUGCCUUUGAUACUGGAAGUCUUGAGGUCGAGAGAGGUGAGUGGAACUGCGAGUGUAGAGGUGAAAUUCGUAGAUAUUCGCAAGAACACCAGUGGCGAAGGCGGCUCACUGGCUCGAUUCUGACGCUGAGGUGCGAAAGCGAGGGGAGCAAAC
rnacentral:rRNA from 1 species